rnacentral:tRNA from 1 species
GGCCUGAUGGUCUAGGGGUAUGGAUACUCGCUAGGGUGCGAGUGGUCCCGGGUUCAAAUCCCGGUCAGGCCC